GCAUAUCAAUAAGCGGAGGAAAAGAAACCAACAGGGAUUGCCUCAGUAACGGCGAGUGAAGCGGCAAAAGCUCAAAUUUGAAAUCCUUCGGGAGUUGUAAUUUGAAGGUGAGAUGGCGACUUCAAGUCUGGCUAAAGUCCCUUGGAACAGGGCGCCUUAGAGGGUGAGAGCCCCGUACAACCAGUUCUUGAAGUCAUAUGCUUUCUCUCCAACGAGUCGAGUUGUUUGGGAAUGCAGCUCAAAGUGGGUGGUAAAUUCCAUCUAAAGCUAAAUACCGGCGAGAGACCGAUAGCGAACAAGUACCGUGAGGGAAAGAUGAAAAGCACUUUGAAAAGAGAGUGAAACAGUACGUGAAAUUGUUGAAAGGGAAGGGCUUGCAAGCAGACACAACCCUCGUGGUUGGGCCAGCAUCGGUUGCUAGGGGUGGAUAAGGCGGCGGGAAUGUAGCUUCCUCGGAAGUAUUAUAUCCCGCUGAGAUACACCCACCGGCGACCGAGGCCUGCGAUUCUAAAUCAAGGAUGCUGGCGUAAUGGUUGCAAGCCGCCCGUCUUGAAACACGGACCAAGGAGUCUAACGUCUAUGCAAGUGUUUGGGUGAAUAAAACCCCAGCGCGGAAUGAAAGUAAGAGAUUGGAACCCGCAAGGGCGCACAAUCGACCGACCCAGAAGUACUCGGACGGGUUUGAGUAGGAGCAUAGCUGUUGGGACCCGAAAGAUGGUGAACUAUACCUGGAUAGGGUGAAGCCAGAGGAAACUCUGGUGGAGGCUCGUAGCGGUUCUGACGUGCAAAUCGAUCGUCGAAUCUGGGUAUAGGGGCGAAAGACUAAUCGAACCAUCUAGUAGC
rnacentral:rRNA from 1 species